AAAAAAUCCCCUCGUUCGAUCCCCAACCUCCCCCCAGUCCCGUCGCCGCUGCUGCCUAUCCCGCCUCCUACCGGUGCGCCACCACUCCCGCCUCCUUCCGGCGCGCCGUCAUCCCUGCCUCCUACCGGCGCGCCGCCAGACCCUCCUUCUUCCCUGGAGUGCCGCCACCCCGCUACCCCCGCCAUCUCCCACCAUGGGGUAACCCUAGAUGGCCGCCGGCCCGCCGUCGCCGACGUCGCCUCCUUCUCCCUUGGCCCUCAGCCACCCAACGGCAGCUGCAUCACGCCGAUUAGGUCUUACCCCAGGACAGCCACGGGUGUCGUCAUCUCCAGAAGCCUGCCCCCAAAUCGUUGCCACCUGCGCCUCCGAUUCAGCCAACGUCGGUCAUCUCCCUCUUCGUCCUCCACGGGUGUUGCUCUGCCUCGGUCUAUAAUUAACGUCCAUGCCCCAACGCCUUCUCACUGUUCCUCCCCUGAGCGCACCCCGCGGCUAACCCUAGGGACCGAGUCGGGCUUGCCGGCACGGCCGCGUCGUGUGCUGUUGGCACCCCACUCCACCUGCUAUGUUGCGCCCCGGUCUCCAACAGCCAUUCCGAGGAACCCAUCUCGCCGCCACCAUCGUCUGCUAUCCUCCAAUAAGUGUGUUGCGGUACGCCGAUGUCCUCCCAUCGGCAAGCUCCGCCCCUGCUGGCAUCGUCCACUCACACCAUGUCCUCCUCUUUGCCAAGCAGCGUUAAGUGGUGAUUAUCAGAAGUCCAAGACCACACUGUAGGCAGGAAAAAGGAAUGUUCUUGGUUGCUCGCGGGUGACUUCUCAGGUGUCACGGCGCUUGCAUUGUAGAUUAGUAGAGGGAAUAUUGAGACGACGAGGAGAGCGACUUAACUGCAGUCCGCACAACACCAUGAACCAGGUUCUUGAAGUCCGCCCUCUCAUUGAUUGGAACAGGGUGAAAGUUGUGGAAUUUUUGCUGUGACCGCCUGGACUAAGAUGACAGGGCUGACAAAGAUGAAGGCAAGAAGGUUAUAGGGGUGGCCCAGAUAUCAUGGAGAGGCGCCGUGCUCGGCCCAGUGAGGAGCUCCGGGUCAACAUUGUGGCUGCGUGGUGGGCAUGAACCAUGGCGACUGCCUUCCGGCUUUAUUCUCUUGGCUCGUAUAUUUGCCGCUAGCUAUUCUUACAGAAUCAUGAAUUAGACUUAGGAGAAUUGGCAUGUCAUCACAUGAAUUUUUUUAAACUAUGAGGUGCUACAGGUAAACAUGGUGAAUUCACACUUUUAAACUGCCUGGUGAUUUUCUAAAUCUCAAGCAAUCAGGACAUAUGCAUUUUCUUUGUUUCUCGCUUCAUGUUUUGUCAUGGACUACAUGAGUUUCAUGUAUACCAGAAUGUUUCCAAACCUGUGAUUAACAAGUUCUUUUCCACUUCUAAAUUACAAAUAUCUUAUUGAUGCUACCAUAUUGUAGAGUGUAAUUGAU
rnacentral:rRNA from 1 species